AAGCUGCCUGAAUUAAAGGCCUGCAGCUUCUGCAUGAAUAAAUGCUGCUUGCUCAUUCUGUAGUGCUCCAGGAAGAGAUGUGCAAAGUUGUUACCUUCCUGCUAUUCCAAUGUACAACAGCUAAGUCUCUUUUAUCCUUAGGAAAACUACAAGUUUGAGCAAGGUAGGUAUAUACAAAUACUAGAACUCGGCUGGAGGAAAAGAAAUCUUCAUGGAGAGAAGUGGAAACAAAACAUCCAGUCCCCACCAAAGGCUCCCAAAUCCAAGGUUUAACUGUGUAAUGGGACUUCCUUUUAGGAAUUGUCUUCUGAUCAUGAAGUUAUUGCUUAAAGUCUGAGCCAUGAACUGUCUACAAGUAGAAAGGAUCAUAAAGGCAAGAGCAGCAGCAUUCUUGCUUUGAACCUGCAGACAAGACAGGAGAAGCUAAAUUACCACUGCAAAGAGAAAGUAGAAAGAAUAUUCUCAAUUUGUUUUAGUUUAAAUUCUUCUCAGCAAACCAUAGGGCUAUAAAACUAAAAAUCAAAAAAUUAAAAAGGAGAUUGCAAUUAAGACUCUAUGAACAGCUGACUAAUGUAAAUAUUUCAGAGAAUACGAUUCCCAGAGAUACAUUUGGGCACAUCAGUUGGGUUGAAUAGCUGUUUAUUUGUAAUUUGUUUUCUUUCAGUCACUUAAGUGAAAAAUUGGAAUGCAUAUUUUGGAAGGAAGGAGAUUUGUGUAAAAUUUG
ensembl:lncRNA